UACGAAGGGGGCUAGCGUUGCUCGGAAUCACUGGGCGUAAAGGGUGCGUAGGCGGGUUUUUAAGUCAGAGGUGAAAUCCUGGAGCUCAACUCCAGAACUGCCUUUGAUACUGAAAGUCUUGAGUAUGGGAGAGGUGAGUGGAACUGCGAGUGUAGAGGUGAAAUUCGUAGAUAUUCGGAAGAACACCAGUGGCGAAGGCGACUCACUGGACAUGUAUUGACGCUGAGGUGCGAAAGCGUGGGGAGCAAACAGGG
rnacentral:rRNA from 1 species